rnacentral:rRNA from 1 species
GGGUUGUGAGGUUAAGCGACUAAGCGUACACGGUGGAUGCCCUGGCAGUCAGAGGCGAUGAAGGACGUGCUAAUCUGCGAUAAGCGUCGGUAAGGUGAUAUGAACCGUUAUAACCGGCGAUUUCCGAAUGGGGAAACCCAGUGUGAUUCGUCACACUAUCAUUAACUGAAUCCAUAGGUUAAUGAGGCGAACCGGGGGAACUGAAACAUCUAAGUACCCCGAGGAAAAGAAAUCAACCGAGAUUCCCCCAGUAGCGGCGAGCGAACGGGGAGGAGCCCAGAGCCUGAAUCAGUGUGUGUGUUAGUGGAAGCGUCUGGAAAGGCGCGCGAUACAGGGUGACAGCCCCGUACACAAAAAUGCACAUGCUGUGAGCUCGAUGAGUAGGGCGGGACACGUGGUAUCCUGUCUGAAUAUGGGGGGACCAUCCUCCAAGGCUAAAUACUCCUGACUGACCGAUAGUGAACCAGUACCGUGAGGGAAAGGCGAAAAGAACCCCGGCGAGGGGAGUGAAAAAGAACCUGAAACCGUGUACGUACAAGCAGUGGGAGCACAGAGCAAUCUGUGUGACUGCGUACCUUUUGUAUAAUGGGUCAGCGACUUAUAUUCUGUAGCAAGGUUAACCGAAUAGGGGAGCCGAAGGGAAACCGAGUCUUAACUGGGCGUUAAGUUGCAGGGUAUAGACCCGAAACCCGGUGAUCUAGCCAUGGGCAGGUUGAAGGUUGGGUAACACUAACUGGAGGACCGAACCGACUAAUGUUGAAAAAUUAGCGGAUGACUUGUGGCUGGGGGUGAAAGGCCAAUCAAACCGGGAGAUAGCUGGUUCUCCCCGAAAGCUAUUUAGGUAGCGCCUCGUGAAUUCAUCUCCGGGGGUAGAGCACUGUUUCGGCAAGGGGGUCAUCCCGACUUACCAACCCGAUGCAAACUGCGAAUACCGGAGAAUGUUAUCACGGGAGACACACGGCGGGUGCUAACGUCCGUCGUGAAGAGGGAAACAACCCAGACCGCCAGCUAAGGUCCCAAAGUCAUGGUUAAGUGGGAAACGAUGUGGGAAGGCCCAGACAGCCAGGAUGUUGGCUUAGAAGCAGCCAUCAUUUAAAGAAAGCGUAAUAGCUCACUGGUCGAGUCGGCCUGCGCGGAAGAUGUAACGGGGCUAAACCAUGCACCGAAGCUGCGGCAGCGACACUGUGUGUUGUUGGGUAGGGGAGCGUUCUGUAAGCCUGUGAAGGUGUGCUGUGAGG